rnacentral:lncRNA from 1 species
AACUCAUUAACUUGGUGAAAAUUGGUAUAUUUGGGUGCAAGGCAUCAUGGACAAGACAACAACAAUUCACAAUUUCCUUGCUUACAGAUUUUUGAAAUAAUAUAGUUGAUUUAGCAAUCACGUCAUUGUAGAAUGCUGAGUUAAAAUGUUUUUGAAACAAAAUAUAAGAUUGCAUACCACUAUAUCAGUGUUGUAACUGAUGCUUGCAAACCAUGGGACAGAUAGAAAAUUCAAAGUAACUUUUGCAUGCCUGUUGGGAAUCUUUCUUGGUGCUCAACUGUAAAGGAAAAUUCUGCCAGAUUCAUAAGAUUAUCUCACAUCUUCUCCAGUUCUUGAGGUGGAAGAAACAGAACUGCCAGUACUGCUUCUGGCAAACAGGGCGGAAUGUGCCUUGUCAAUGUUCAGAACACACUCAGAAAAAGAAUGGGAAACACACAUGAGAAUAAUACAGAACAUUAAAUAUGAAAAAAUGGGGGCUUAGAGUGCAGUGCACACCAUUCCAAGUCCAGGACAAAUACAAUACCAGAAACGACAAAUACAAUACCAGACAGGACAAAAAAAGUUAAAAAUAUUUGGGGCAUUCCGAGAAUCGAACUCGGGACCUCUCGCACCCAAAGCGAGAAUCAUACCACUAGACCAAAUGCCCAUAUUGAAUGAUAUGGGGCUAAAUCUUUCUUUAUUCAUGCAUUGUCUUCAGUUCUACAGUAAGAUUGCAUAAAAAUUGUAAGAUUUGGUUACCUGGAUGGGUAAUUAUCAGUAAAGAUAACUUGUUUUCCAAGUUAAGAUAUGAAAGAGAGUUUGCUUACCCCUCUGAUUUUAUAUAUUUAAAGACUUCCCAUGAAAUUCCGUAUAAUUUAACUACAUUUACAGUGGCAAGUUGUCACUCUUUACUGAAAAACUUCCAGCUAAAACUAUUAAUCAUUCUUCCAAUACAUUCACAUUCAGCCCCUGAUGCUUAUAAGUAUACAAAAUAACAAGUCAAGCUUGUCAGCUUCCAUACUUCAAAAGCUUAAAUUUAAGAAAUAAUUGCUAGUUGGCAUGUAAGUAUGAGGAUUAAUAAACUAGGGUUAGUUGGGAACUCACACCCUAAGUGAGAAUCAGAUGACUAGAGCAAAGCCUUACAAUGCAAUAUUUUUUGUUUGCUAAUCAUAUCGAAAAGUAAUUAAUUGAUUUGCUAAAAAUAUUUUAGGGUGUAUUAUGAAGUUAAAACCUUUGCUUUGUAAAUUUGACUUUUAAACAUGAAAUCAGUAAGUUGGUAGUAUUGUCUUUCUUACACAAGUUGAAACAUUAUUUUUACUUCACAAUUCUAAUAUUGCUUCUAGGUGGAGUGGUCUGAACUUCAACACCGCAAGUUUUGAUAUGUAGGUUAAUCACAUAUUCCACCUAGUGUUUGUAAAGUAUAAAAUAAAAUACUAGCUAAUUACAUGGGCAAAGGAUAUAAAGAUAUAAUUGUGUUGAUACAUUUGUUGAUAAGAAUUUGAUACUGUUGGGGGUCAUGCAUCAUCAACAAGUCACAACCUCUGAUAGCAGGCCCAGGAUAGCAAGGUCCAUUAAAAACAGAGAAAAACCCAUAUUAGAGAUUUUAUCUAGAAGCAUAUCAGCUGUCACUUUCGGAUAGGAAGAAUAUAUUUCUGUUAUGUUUUCUGUUACCAGAGUACAGCUGUCCCUUAGAGACUAGCUCGCAAGAACAAUAUAAGGCCUUUUGUGUAGUAAAGAAGGCAGAGAAUAAUAUUGUAGAAAUUUUCUUAUCUUGCUUAGUUCUUCUCAUAGUUUUAUUCCCCUUUACGUUUCUCCUCUUCUUAUCCUUUAACAUAACAACCUCCUUCGUUAUUCUGUUAUUCAAUUUGAAAUAACAUAGUUGAUUAAGCAAUAUUUUAAUUCCCUGGAGAAUAUGGAGUUCAAAUGGUGCAUACUGAGUUAAGAUCAGAUACCACAAUCUAGCGUUAAAACUGAUGCUUGCUAACACAUGGAGAUAUAGGUAAAUCAUAACAAUGCUAAGUGUCUUGGAGCUUAAAUGUAAAAAGACAGAUCAACAGUCAAGCUCAAUACAAACAAAACUGAUUGUUAAGAUUGUGAUUUGAAUUUUCUCCUAUUCUUUAGAAAAAAUGCAACUGCAAGUAUUCUAUCCUGUCUGAGAAUGCAGGGUUUUUCUUGUGCCAACUCAAUGACAAAAACACAUGAAGACAAUUCAUGCACAGACAAAAAGAGGGGGCAUUCCGAGAAUUGAACUCGGGACCUCUCGCACCCUAAGCGAGAAUCAUACCACUAGACCAAAUGCCCAUAUUUGGAGAAUAAGGGCAAAGUCAAAUCUAUGUCAGUCUAAUUUAGAAUUGUAUAUGAGACAUUCUCUUCAGUUCAACGGUAAGAUUGCAUACCAGAUUUGCUUACCUGGAUAUGCAAUUGUAACUCAAGGCAACCUGUUUUGCUAAUCAAGGUAUCAAAGUCAGUUUACUAAUUUACCACUCAAGUUUUAUGUAUAAACUUUCUCCGUACAGAUAUCCUGUUUUGGAGACAAUGGUGUUUAAUUCAAGGCACUAUUUAUGGAGCAUUAACUGUGUCAGCACCUUUCCUAAUUUAGAUUCUUUACCUGCUUUUCUUUAUAAAGAAUCUGUACCAUUGUCUGGUUUUAUAUUUUAAUUAUCAACUACGACUUAAAACAAAUUAUUGUAUUACAUUUUCGGUGGCAAGCAGUUAAAGAUCUAUUCAUCCCAAUCCCAACACAAUCAUGUCAGUUUUAUAUUCAAAUUGUAUUGCAUGCCACAUUCUCUACAGUUCUAUGGUAAGAUUCCAUACAAAUUACCAGAUUUUCUUACCUGGAUAGGCAAUUGUAAGUCAUGGUAACCUAUUUUUCUAGUCAAGUUAUCAAAGUGAAUUUACAAUUUAUCACUCUGGUUUUAUGUAUAUACUUUUCUCCCAACAGAUAUCCUGUUUUUGGAGACAAGACAAAGGUGUGGCGUUCAAUGCACUGUGGAGGAUUAAAGGUUUAAGUACCAUUAUCUCCGGAUAUGUUUUAAUCAUCAACAUUGACUUACAACAACUUUUGUGUUAAAUUUUCAGAGGCAAGCUGUUACUUGCACAUAAAAUUUUCAGAUAAAACUGUCGAUCUACCAAUUCAUUCAUCCCAAGGCAAUCACAUGCAACCUCUGAUGUUUAUUAUUAUUUAAAUAAAGGAACUAACAUGUCAAGUUUGUCAACUACCGGAACUCGAAAAAACAAAAAUUGAGAAUCAAACCUGAUGCUUGUUGGCUAUAGCGAUAACCAGAUCAAUCUUGUCAGUUCCAAAUCGUCAAAAAACAAAAAGGGCAUCCAGAGAAUGAAGUUGGAACCUCUCGCGCCCCAAGCACGAAUCAUCUGGAUCAAACACUCGUUACUUAUUUUCACUUUUCUUCUCCUGAAGGGGAAAACUGACCUAGAAAAGGCAAUGAAAGGGAUUUUUUAGAAGUUUGUGUGAAGCUUUCGUAUGUUAAGAUUUCACUUUAAAUAUAUUUAUUCACCUUUAAAUUAUCAUAUUGUUGCAUACUCAUAUUUUUUCUUUUUUAUAAUUAACAACUUCAAAUUUUUAUAACUCUUAAUAUUAUUAUUUUAAUAUUUUUUAAUCAUUUAAUUACAAAUUUAAUUUUUAUUAUAUAUUUAUUUUUAAUCUUAUCAUAUAAAAAAAUUAUAUACAACUUUAAGAGUUGUAAAAUUAUUAUUUUUUAUUACUUUUCUAAGAUAGUAUCAAAACUAAUUUUUGUUAUUUUACUAGAUUUGUAUUCUUUUAUUUCUUUAAAAGAUUUAUUAGACAAGAUUUAAACGAUGUACUAGAUUGGGUUUCAAGAUAAUUUUAAUACUUUCUUAUGAAAAAAUUCAAUAUUGAAUAAGACUUCAAAUUUAUAUAAACAAGUAUUGUGCAAUCCAUUAACUCUAUCAAGAUUACUAAAAUGUAUACAAUUUUUAACAAGUUAUUUUUUAAAAAAGAACUUGACUUCACUUUUUUUUAGAAUGUAUAAAUACACUCUCUUUAAGCAAUUCUUCCAAACCCUUGAGAGAACACUUUUUUUUUUUUUUUGUUGUUAUACUUUACUUUCAUCAUAUAUUAUUUUCUCUCUUUACUAAAGGCAAUAUAAAACUCAUGUAUAAUAAUACAUAAAAAGUUUAUGAUUAAACCAAUAAACAAUAUCUUUACCAUUAGUUUUACUUUCGUAACAAAAAACCUAUAAUUGUAAACAUAUUUUUUAAACCUAAAGGAAGGAAAAGAUGUUGUUCCUGCUAGGGAGAUGAGACCUAGAGAACUAUUGAAGUCUUCUUCUCCUUUUUUCGGUCGGUCAGGUGACUGGGUGGUGAGCUGGGAUUCUCCUCGUCCUCCUACUUCUCCUUCGGCACUUGACCUCGGCUGAACACCGGAUGGUGGGGGUACCUGCUAAGGCACUCUGACGCUCAAGUCAGUAAAGCGGGUGGUCAGCUCUCAAGUACGUGAACAGUAAUAAAUGACAUACCUUACUCCUUGGAAUGCGUGCUAUUUAUAUUAUUCUAAUGGGCCUACUUUGUUGGGCCCGUUUAUCGAGGUGGAUACCGCUUAAGGUUGCAUUACCUAAUUCUUGAUGAUGGAUUAACUUCACUGAUCUCGGUUUGAGCGUUAACUGUAGUAGGGGUCGGCCGUCGGCCAAGUUCCCAUGGUAUGGGUCAGCCAUCGGCCAAAUCCCAGUGGUCUCGGCCAAGUCUUCUAAGGUCUCGGCCAAGUGCGUCAUCGGCCUCGGCAUCUCGACCACAUCUCGGGCAGCCAGGUGGACCUCGACCUUGCCCAUACAUGUACACUUGCCCCCCAGGCUCAAGGGCAGAUGUGUUAGAUAUGUCCGAUGAGUCUUUAAUGAUGGGUGUCGGUCGGUCUCCCUUUAUUGUGCAGUUAUUCCAUUUCUCGAGGUGUGACGUGACCCAGGCGGCGUGACGUGACCCUAGGUGACAUGACAUGACUGGCAUUUAUGAGGGGUUUUUCGGGCAGGAAACGUAGUGGACCGUUGGAUCUCUUGGAUCUAACGGUUGAGAUUGGUGCGUCGGUUCAGGAUCCGAGGCCCAUGGGCCUUAUAAAUAGGGGUCUCCAACAGUGUCGAGAUCAUGCGUUUUCUGAGUGAGUUUGUCUGAUAGACGAGCCUUCCCUCGCCCACUGCUAUGAGAACCGAGUGACCGUUCGGCCUUUUUAUAAAGCUUCGCCUUCCCUCGCUUUUACAAAGGUUAGUGAUGUCGAUCGUGUCUCGGCCAACAUCUUCUUCGUCCGGCCAUUCUUCCCCCUCUCUCGGUCGCCCCUCUCCUACCCUAUGGCUUUCUUCCUCUUUGUCAACCUCUUCUUCUUCAUCUGCCACCGAUUCUUUAUCAGUUGGGGUGGCCGAGGCGCCACCCAUGGUAGAGGCGGUUAGGGUGAGAUCGAACAUCUGUCGUUGUAUGGUGGGCUCGGCCACUUCAACCGAGAUCAUGGCCUCGGUCCCGUAUGUCAGGCUGUAAGGGGUCUCUUGUGUGGUAGUUUGGGGGGUCCUUGAUAGAUGUCGUUUUGCUGUCAAAUUAAUAUGAUUCUAGCGUAGACUUGUCUAACACUAGAGAGAUGAUAGUAUAAUUGUGGACAAAUGUCCCCAAGUCGUCUCCCAACGAAUCCAAUAGUAAAAUCAGUUGAUCAGGGUUUAAAAUCUAUCUGCAAGCAAUAAAAGUUAGCAAAAACAAUAAAGAUGAAAAGGGGAUUUGAGAUAGUUGUGCAGAAAAUAUAAAAGAGAUUAAAAUAGCAAAUAAAAAGUGGUUGAUCCCAAGUUCUUCCACCAUUGAAUUCUUCACAGGUUCUCUAAAGAUUAAUCUUUUCUCAAUCCUCCAACAGAGCUAAACCAGAUUGAACAUGCGCCGAUCUGAUUCAACUGAAACUCACCAGUAAAGCAUGCGUCCACUGGUUUAAUCCAUACCCACUUUGUUCCAUGCGUAUACUCCAUGGGAAUGCUUACCUCCUCUCCCUUGAAUCAUGCGCCCAAGAAAUUAAUUAGAACAGUGCGAACUAACUAAGAAACCAAAGUUUAAGAUAAGGAAGACUCUCAAUCAUGCGUUCAAGUACNNNNNNNNNNNNNNNNNNNNNNNNNNNNNNNNNNNNNNNNNNNNNNNNNNNNNNNNNNNNNNNNNNNNNNNNNNNNNNNNNNNNNNNNNNNNNNNNNNNNNNNNNNNNNNNNNNNNAAGAAUCAACCAAAAAGGUUUAGCCUUCCAUGCGGAGGCAAAACAAAAGAAUUACUAAGAAGAAAAUAAACUAAGAAAACCCUAUGAAGCUCUCCCUUUUUCUCCUUGAUGCUUGUGUCCUUUUAUAGGCUUUUCUGCUCCAAGGAUCUUGGGAAAAUAUUGUAGUUUAUAUUUUGUUAACAGUUUCCCUUUCCAUAAUUCUUUUUAUUUUGCAGAAGAUUUGCUUCCAAUUCUGUUUCUGAGAUAUUGUAGAUUUUAUUUUCUCUUUCUUCUCCUCAGAAUUUGUUUUCUGUUUUGGUUCAAGAAGCAACUUGGACUUUUGCAUAUUUGGCCCAUUCACAAAGGUAGAUGCUUCCUCCGGAUAAUUUACUCUAAAAACACAAAAUUAACAAUAAUAAUAGUUAAGGCCCAAAUAAACCCAAUUAUAAGAAUAUUAAUUAAAACAAUAGAUUUAUUUAUUAUUAUAGUCCAAUAAUCUAUUAAUUAGGCUAAUGAGUGUGAAUAAAUAUAUGCUCAUCAGUCCUCUUGGCCAAGCGGGGGACGAACCGGGAGAGGACGGUCAGCCGCCCUAGGAGCUGUUGUACCUCCUUCACACUGUUCGGACUUCUCAUGUUGAGUAUGACCUGACACUUGUCGGGGUUGGCCUCUAUUCCUCAGUGGGUGAGCAUGAAGCCUAGGAACUUCCCUCCCCCAACCCCGAAGGUACAUUUUUCGGGGUUGAGCUUCAUGUUGACUCCCCUUAAGGCUCUGAAGACCUCGUCCAGGUCCUUCAAAUGUUACUCGAACGAGUCGGACUUCACGACUAUGUCGUCCACGUAUACUUCUACCGCCCGGCCUAUUAGGCCUUUGAAGAUUUUGUACAUGACGCGCCGGUAGGUCGCCCCUGCGUUCUUGAGGCCGAAUGGCAUUACCUCGUAAUAGUAGUUGGCGUCGGCCGUCAUGAAAGCCGUUUUCUCCUUGUCCCUCGGGUGCAUGGUUAUCUGGUUAUAGCCAGAGUAAGCAUCCAGGAAGCUCAUAAUUUUGUGGUCGGUCGUCCCGUCCACUAGUCGGUCAAUGUUCGGGAGGGGGUAGGUGUCCUUCGGACAUGCGCUGUUGAUGUUUCUGUAGUCGACGCACAUUCUCCAGUUACCGUUUGGUUUGGUGACCAUGACGACGUUGACCAGCCUUGUCGUGUAUCGGGCCUCCCUUAUGAACCCGACCGACAGGAACUUGCCGGUCUCCUCCUUCGCCGCGAGUCGUUUUUCGUUGCCCAAGUCUCUCUUCUUUUAGGAGAUUGGGCGGGCUUCUUGCAUAUUGACAAUCGAUGGGUGAUGACAUCCGGGCUCACCCCCGGAAUGUCGGCCGACGUCCAUGCGAACAUGUCAAUAUUCUUUUUCAGUGUGGAAUGCAUGAUCUAGGCCUCGGCCGCUGCCAAGGCUAUUCCUACAGCCGUGUUGUGUUCUUCGUCGAAGAGGGGGACUCUCCUCAGCUCUUCUCUCGCCUCCAGCCUGUCCUCGGUUGCCCGGGGAUCGAGGUCCACCAAUGCCACGGUUGGCUUGAUCUCCCUCGGUUGGUCCUUCCUGGGGGAGCGAUCCUUUCGGGAAGACUUCCUCAUUUUGAGGGGAGAGGUGUCGGUCCUUAAAGGUUCCACCCGGAGGCUCUCGGCGUAGCACUCUCGUGCUUCUUUCUGGUCUACGUGGACCGUGAGAAUGUCUCCUAUUCUUGAAGGGAACUUCAUUGCGAGGUGAGGGGUUGAUAGUAUGGCCAUCAGUCGGUUGAUGGACGGUCGCCGAGGAGGAUGUUGUAGGAGGUGUUGGCGUCGAUGACCAAGUAUCGAAUUUUGAUGGUCCUGGUGUUCUUCCCCUCUCCGAAGGUGGUGUACAAUUCGAUGUAACCCUUGGUACCCACCCUCUCACCCGAGAAUCCUACCACGUGGUUGUCGUAUGGCAUCAUCUCGGCUUCGGCUAUCCUCAUGGCCUUGAAAGUUUUCCAGUAGAGUUUGUCUACCGAACUUCCUUGGUCUACAAGGGUCUUUCGUAUGGUGAAUUGGUCUAUAUCGCCCGCUACCACCAUCGGGUCGUCCUGCUGGCGGUAGUCUACGUUCUUAAAGUCUUCGUCCGUGAACGUGAUGGGUAACAUCCUCGGUCGGAAUGUCACCGCGUUUACCUGGUGUACUGCCCGGAGGUGCUUCUUCCGGGCGUUGUUCGUGCUUCCUCCCCCGGCAAAACCGCCGACUAUAGUGUUGAUGACCUCUUGGUUACCUCUCCUAUCGGCCUCCCUAGGGGGGUCGUCCUUUCGAUGGGGGUCAUCCCUUGCGGAUUGUCGGUCGCCUCUAUUGUCUUGGUCAUUUCGGCCGCGUUGGGGUGACCUCGUCUGUCUGGGUGGAUCCACCCGACGGGGCGGGUCUCGGCCAUUCCUGACGAAACGGAGAUGCCCCAACUUGGAUAAGUUCCUCGAUCUUAUCCUUUAGGGCUUGAAACUCCUCGAUCGAGUGUCCGGCGUUCUGGUGGUACCGACACUGCUUCCUCCGAUCGACAUUACUUGGGCUGGCCACCAUCCUUGGAGGAGGGAUCAACUCGGCGUUGAGGGCCUCGUCUAGAAUUCUCCCCCUCUCGAUCGUCAGGGGUGUGUACCUUGAGAACCGGAUUGGUCGGUCUUGGUUGUCCUGGCGUCGGUCAUUUCUUUGAUUCGGCCGCGCCUGACGGUCCUUUUCUUCCUUGUUUCUCUCACCACCAGCCUCGGCACAGGCCUGGUUGUGGAAUUCUCUCAGCUCUUCCAGCUGCAUGUACUUAGCAGCUCUCUUUCUCAGCUCGUCUAGGCUGUCGGCCGGCUACAUGCACAGGUUGUUGGCAAAGGGCUCCGGACGUAGGGUCGUCAGCAUGUGGUGCAUGGCAACGUCCGGGCACAAAUUUUGAAUGCUCAUUGCCACUUUACUGAAUCUAUCUACAAAGGUUCUCAGCGACUCUCCCUUCUCCUAACGGAUGCCUACCAGGGCGAUGGAGGUUAGGUGGUGCGGUUGGCUGGUCGCAAACUGCGUUUCAAACUUUGCGACGAGCGUGGCAAAGCUAUCGAUGGAGUUGGGUGAGAGCUUGGUGAUCCAACUAAGGGCUGCACCCUUUAAGGAUGUGGGAAACACUCGGCACAACAUGGCGUCGUCCGAGGUGUAGAGACCAGUGUUAUCACAUAUCGGCCAUGGCAGAUUUUGGUGGCGGAAUUCCAGACCACUGCCACAACAAGGCGGUGGCGAAUCGGAUUUCGCAUGGCGACCCAUGGCGGAGCGGUAACGGAUAUCGAAGAUAUCAAAAUAUCGGUAAAAAUUGUUGGCAGCGGAGCUUGAAGGAGUUGAUGAAGAAGAAGGGCUGCGGCGGCUGAUGAAGAAGAAGGGUGCAAAAGCCCUAACCCUAAUUUCUAAGACAAAAAGAUUUGGGUCAAAAGCCCAUUUCAGAUUUAAAAUAAUAAAAACUUUAAAAUUUAAAUUAAAAAUACUAAAAGUUUAAAACUGACGUGUGGUGUGGCUCUGAAGGCAACCCUAAUUUAAACACCUUAUUAGUAUGACUUUUGGCCCACUAUUUCAACCUUAAAAUUUUAAAAACUGACGUGUGGCUUUUGGGCUUAUUUUGGGACCAAUUAAAACACAUAUUACCCUAAACCCUAAACCACAGCCACUACACAUUCUUAUUUCUCUCUGCCACCACUGACUGUUGCUGCCUACCGUCGCCCCCGACUGUCGCCGCCCCGUCAAUGCCUGUCGUUGUUCAAGUGAUUUUUUUUUCAUUUGUUAUUUUUUUCUUUUUUUUUUCACUUUCAAUAUAAUUAUUUUAGAAAAAUAUUCCUAUUUUCCAGCAUAAUGGCCAAUGAACAUAACACUUCAAGAACAUCCCAGAGAAGUGAUCCAGGCUGGAAACAUUGUCAUCCAUUGGAUGACACAAAUUUAAAUACAAUUGUUUGUAACUACUGUGGGAAAAUUAUGAAAGAGGGAGUUACUAGGGCCAAAGAAAAUUUGAUGGCGAAGAAAGGCAAUGUUGCUGCUUGCACCAAGACUCCUAAAAAUGUAAGAGAAGAGCUUUGGAAUUUAUUGAAAGAAAAAACAACCACUUGUUCCGUUAAUCAUGUAUAUGGUGCGACGACAUGUGAUAAUAUUGAAAGUGAAGAUGAAGUUGAAAUUUCCACCACUAGUAAUGAUAGGGGGAGAAAUAGUGGUGGAAAAAAAGGACCAAUGGAUGCCUUUAUUAGAAAUCCAAAUGCUGCAAUAGAGAAGAGAAAGAGAGAACAGCUCAGGCAGACUAAUAUUAAAGAAGCAUGUGACAAGAACUUAAAGGCAUCCGUUCAUCAAUAUAUUGCUCGAUUUUGGUAUCAAGCGGGCUUGUCAUUCAAUCUUGUAAGAUUGAAGAGCUUUCAAGAUAUGAUUGAUGCUAUAGGUGCUUAUGGACCUAAUUUGCCAGCUCCUAGCUAUCAUGAGAUUAGAGUUCCACUCCUCAACAAGGAAGUUGAGUACACCGAAAAGUUGUUGAAAGAUCAUAAAUUGCAAUGGAGCAGACAUGGUUGUUCUAUCAUGUCAGAUGCAUGGACUGAUCGAAAGCAACGGUGUUUGAUUAACUUUUUGGUGAACUCUCCUGCAGGGACAAUGUUUGUCAAGUCGAUUCAUGGUUCUAAAUUUGUGAAGACAGGAGAAAAGCUCUUUGAGAUGCUUGAUGCCCUUGUGGAGGAGAUUGGAGAAGAAAAUGUCGUUCAAGUUAUCACAGAUAAUGGUAGUAAUUAUGUCUCUGCUGGUAGAUUACUGGAAGCAAAAAGACCUAAUCUUUAUUGGACUCCUUGUGCUGUCCAUUGUAUAGAUUUGAUGCUUGAAGACAUCGGAAAUAUUCCUUUGAUAAAGAAGACGAUUCAGAAAGGAGUUAAUCUUGUUGGCUUCAUCUAUAGCCAUUCUAGUACCUCGAGUUUAUUGAGACAAUUUACAAAUAAGAGGGAAUUGGUAAGAUAUGCAGUUACAAGGUUUGCUACCUCUUAUUUAACACUACAAAGGUUGUAUCACGAGAAGGGAAAUUUAAGAAAAAUGUUUACUUAAGAUGAUUGGAGCAAAAACAAGUUGUAUAAGGAAGCUAAGGGGAAAGAAGCUACCAAAAUUGUUUUUAUGCCUUCAUUUUGGAAUCAUGUUGUAUUUACUCUCAAAGUCAUGGCUCCUCUGGUUCAUGUACUUCGUUUGGUUGAUGGAGAGAGAAAAACAACAAUGGGUUAUAUAUAUGAAGCAAUGGAGAAAGCAAAAGAAACAAUAAUGAAGUCAUUCAAUAACAAUGAAAGUAAGUACAAAGAUGUAUUUACAAUCAUUGAUAAUAGAUGGACAUGUCAGCUUCAUCGCCCCUUGCAUACAGCCGGUCACUUUUUGAAUCCAGAGUUUUAUUAUUCUAAUCCAGAAAUGGAAUAUGAUUUGGAAGUUACAAAUGGAUUUUAUGCUUGCAUCAAGAGGUUGGUGCCAAGUAAAGAUGUGCAACAAAUUUUUUUAACCGAGUUGCCUCUUUAUAAGAGUGGAAGUGGACUGUUUGGUGAUGACUUUGCCAAAGAAUCAAGGAAGACCACAGCCACAGGUGAGACAGUUAAAUGCUUUCUAAAAUGCGUGCGUUAACAUAUAAAUUAUAUCAUACAUUCUAAGUUACCUUUUUUACUUUUAUAGCUCAAUGGUGGAAGAAUUAUGGGCACGCAACUCCCAAUUUACAGAAGUUAGCCAUCAAGAUUUUAAGUUUGACAUGUAGCUCAUCAGGAUGUGAGCGAAAUUGGAGUGUAUUUGAGCAAGUAAGUAAUACAAGACUCAUUUCAUUAUUAUCUUGUAGGAUGUAGAAAGAAAUUAAUUCACAUUAUAUUUGCAGAUUCAUUCCAAAAAAAGUAACAGAUUGGAGCACAAAAGGUUGCAUGAUUUGGUUUACGUAAAGUAUAACCAACAACUUGCUCAAAGAUAUAAUAUUAGGGAUGAAAUAGACCCUAUUCUACUCAAUGACAUUGAUGGUGCAAUGAGUGGUUAGUGGGACAAGUAGAUGAUGAUACUGAAGACGGGGAAAUGAGUUGGUCUUUGAUGAUGAUCCCACUCUUAAUUGGGCAACUGUUUAUGAAGCUUCAGGGGUUGGAGAACCAAUAAUUUACACACGGAGACAAGCAACCAACAAAAGAAAGUUACCAUCUAGUGGUGAUGGUAUUUUCAUUGGCUCUUCCCAUGCUUCUAAGAAAGGUCCAGCUACAACUUUAUCCCCAACAAGAAAGGGCAAAGAGAAGAUUCAAAUUGGGGUUGAGAAUGAAUUGCAUGAUAGCUCUGAUUCAGAGUUUGAAAAAUUACUUAACUUUGACAAGAGUUUCUCUGAAGGGGAAGAGGAGGAGGGAUAUGCCCCAUUAGAUAAUAUUGAAGACAAUUAUGUGGGGAUUUAAGAAGAGUCUGAUAGUUAUAAACAUCAGACAAUUUCUUUUGGUUUUGUUGUUGUUUUAUGUUUUGAACUUUAAAUUUGUGAUGUUUUGAUUUCAUAUUAUUGUUAUUUGAAUCUUUAGACAUAAUAUAAUAUUUAGUUAUGAUUGUCUCUUUCAUUAUUUUUGCAUUUUUUGAAGUUAUUUAUAUAUAUAUAUAUAUAUAUAUAUAUUAUUUCUUUCGACCGCCAUGCUUCCGCCAUAACCCGAUAUGGGUUCCGUUAUAACUCUAUAAAGGAAAUUUGGGGUCUCCGAUAUGAUCCGUUAUCCGAUAUUGAUAACACUGGUAGAGACUCAUAUGGGUGGUGUAGGCGUCCAUAUGCUCGUCCGGGUCGGUCGACCCAUCAUAUCGGUCUCGGUUGAAACCCUUCCACUUCUCAGGCAGUGGGACUUCGAUGAUGGUGUUGGUAAAGGGAUGUUGGCGAUUCGGGUCGGCCGUUAGGGUCGUCUGGGUGGACCUCAUUAGGCAUGACUCGUCGCCCAUCUCGAUGUCUCGGGGAGGGGGUCGGCCCCUCGUCCCCUCAACCACAUCUAGGUUAGGGGGAGAGGUGUAGAACUUGUCGACAACGUUCGUCGGUAUGAAAGAGGGUCCUCCCUCCCCCAGCUUCUUCAUUUCUUCGUUCUCCCUACGGAGAACUUGCAGCUCUUGUUUGUUUUUCUGAGUAGCCUCCUCGGCCUUCUUUCGCAUCUCGGCCAUCUCCCUCUGGAGAGACAGCAACAACAUUGUUUGGUCGGCUUCAGUUAUUCUUUCCAUGUUUCUUGUUGAGACCAUCUACUUUUUUCCUUCAGCUAGUUUCCCUCGGCCCCACGGUGGGCGCCAAUUGUUCUUGCUAGGGAGAUGAGACCUAGAGAACUAUUGAAGUCUUCUUCUCCUUCCUUCGGUCGGUCAGGUGACUGGGUGGUGAGCUGGGAUUCUCCUCGUCCUCCUUCGGCACUCGGCCUCGGCUGAACACCGGAUGGUGGGGGUACCUGCGAAGGCACUCUGACGCUCAAGUCAGUAAAUCGGGUGGUCAACUCUCAGGUAGGUGAACAGUAAUAAAUGACAUACCUUACUCCUUGGAAUGCGUGCUAUUUAUAUUAUUCUAAUAGGCCUACCUUGUUGGGCCCGUUUAUCGAGGUGAAUACUGCUUAAGGUUGCAUUACCUAAUUCUUGAUGAUGGAUUAACUUCACUGAUUUUGGUUUGAGCGUUAACUGUAGUAGGGGUCGGCCGCCGGCCAAGUUCCCAUGGUAUGGGUCAGCCAUCGGCCAAAUCCCAGUGGUCUCGACCAAGUCUUCUAAGGUCUCGGCCAAUUGGGUCAUCGGCCUCGGCAUCUCGGCCACAUCUCUUGAGUCUCAGCCAGGUUCCCCUGGUCUCGGUCAAGUAGGCUCGGCCUCGGGUAGCCAGGUGGACCUCGGCCUCGCCCAUACAUGUACAGAUUAACUUCACUGAUCUUGGUUUGAGCGUUAACUGUAGUAAGGGUCGACCGUCGGCCAAGUUCCCAUGGUAUGGGUGUUAACCCCUUGAGCCUAUAGCCUUUUUUCUUAUUUUUAACCCUCAUUACAAGCCUCAAAACAGAAAAAACCAUGUUUGUCCCUACCUUAGAAGAUGAAGGAGCUUUGAAAUCAUUUGGGAAUAGGUUUUUGAAUAAGUGUGGGGGUGUGUCUCAUUUUCAUAGUUUACCUUUCAGUUUUAAAGAAAAGAAAAGAAAAGAAAAGGGAUAGAAAAAAAAAGGAAUACAACAAGAGAAAGAAAAGCAAAGCAAAAUAAAGAAAAUAAGAGUGGAUCCUCUAAUACAUUGGAUUGACUGUCUACUAUAUGAAAAAAAAAAUUAUAUCUUGAAAUAAAAAGAAGAGUUGAAUUGUCAUAAUACUUACACUUGUUUUUAGACCUAUCCUCCAUUGCUCCUUUGUUUUUCUAUGGUUUUAAGCCUAAUUUCCCCCCUUUACCUACCUUUACCUUAGCCUCAUUACAUCCCUUAUGAAGACCUCUUGAUCUUUGAUUGCAUGUUUUUCUCGAUUGUUGUGAAUAUUAGAGUCUUGCUAAGCAUAUGGUAGUGUUUGUCUGCAUGGGUGUUGAGUGUAAAUACAAACCCUAAACACUUGAGAGUAGGAGAGUGUCCAGUGAAGUUUUGUCAAUUUUGAUUCAACCUUUGAUUUCAAUUACCUACUUGUAUAUUAAAAUAUAGGAAUUUCCAUUCACAUUUUUCUUGAUUCCUUGAUUUCUUGAAAUUAUAUCAUGUCUUUCAUUAUGAAUUCUUAGAAUUUGCUAUUUGUUAUUUGCACUGUUUUUCUUUUCUUUUUAAGCCUUAGAGUGUUUUGCCCAGGAGUGCAAAAGGAUAAGUGUGGGGGUAUUUGAUGAGCAUAUAUUUAUUCACACUCACUAGCCUUAUUCAUAGAUUAUUGGACUAUAAUAAUAAGUAAAUCCAUUGUUUUAAUUAAUAUUCUUAUAAUUGGGUUUAUUUGGGCAUUAACUAUUAUUAUUAUUGUUAAUUUUGUGUUUUUAGAGUAAAUUAUCCAGAGGAAGCAUCUACCUUUGUGAAUGGGCCAAAUAUGCAAAAGUCCAAGUUGUUUCUUGAACCAAAACAGAAAAAAUAUUCUGAGGAGAAGAAAGAGAAAAUAAAAGCUACAAGAUUCCAGAAACAAAAUUAGAAGCAAAUCUUCUGCAAAAUAAAAAGAAUUAUGGAAAGUGGAAAUUGUUUACAAAAUCUAAACUGCAAUAUUUUCCCAAGAUCCUUGGAGCAGAAAAGCCCUAUAAAAGGACACAAGCAUCAAGGAGAAGAGGGAGAGCUUCAUAGGGUUUUCUUAGUUUAUUUUCUUCAAUGGGUCAGCCAUCGGCCAAAUCCUAGUGGUCCCGGCCAAGUCUUCUAAGGUCUCGGCCAAGUGGGUCAUCGGCCUCGGCAUCUCGACCACAUCUCUUGAGUCUCAGCCAAGUUCCCCUGGUCUCGGUCAAGUAGGUUCGGCCUCGGGCAGCCAGGUGGACCUCGACCUCGCCCAUACAUGUACAGAUGUUAAUACAUGAAUAGCCAGAAUAGAAAGACACAGGUAAAAUAAAGUAGCGAUUUAAGAAUUUAAAAAAUUGUAUUGGUAUGUCUUUUCUUUAUCCAAACUUUGUCCUUUUUUUAAUUAUUUUUCAUUAACUUUUGUAGUUGUAGAUGGUUUUAAAAAUUUCGGAGAUCUUUUCAAAUCCUUUAAAUAUGUAAAGUUAAUUCGAAUCUGAUCAUGUCUUCUUCCUCUUCUUCUGCUUCCGCUCAAGAAACUCCUUUGUCUUCUUCCUCUCCUGUCUCUCAACUUCAUACCUUUUCAACACCUCUCACCGUUGAACUCAUCGAUGACAACUUCCUGAUUUGGCGUCAACAGGUUCUUACGCAGGUCAAGGAACUCAAUUUGCUCAAAUUUUGGAAUCUUCUUAUGCUCCCCUAUCGUUUCUCUCCUCUGGAAAUGAAACCCCUAAUCCUCUUGCUCUUCUGCAUAAACAACAAGAUAACCUUCUAGUUGUCUGGUUGUUGGCUUCUAUGCCGAAUUCAUUGUUAACCAAAAUGGUUGGUUUACGAUUGGCUUAUCAAAUUUGGGACUAGCUAAAUGUCUACUUUGCAUCCAAUACUCGUGCGAAAAUUCGUAAGCUCAAAACCCAGUUGAAAACUCCUAAGCGGGAUCGGUCUAUCAGUGUUUAUCUUCUUGACAUCAAGCGAGUUAUCGAUUCUCUUGCAGCUGUUGGCUCAAAUGUUUCCAUAGAAGAACAUCUUGAAGGAGUAUGAUGCGUUCAUCACCUCUGUCACGUCCCGUCUUGAUCCCUACACCGUUGAGAACAUUGAAGCAUUGCUCUUGACUCAAGAAGAAAGGUUUAAUAAACAUAGGUCUCUUGAUCGUCCUUUCAUUCAAAUGAACCGUACUUCUUGUUACAUUCCCAGGAUAUCAUUGUAUUUCUGCAUAAGCUUUUAAAAUACAAUGGUCUUCCAAAAUCCAAACUCUGGAAUAGUUUCAAAGCUCCAAAAUGGAUUUUUUUUUUAAAUAAACCAUAUGAUUGUUGGUUAUAAACACCAAUUCGUAAGUCAAGCUUGUAAGAUUCAGAAUUCUCAAAAUGUAAGGCAUUCCGAGAAUUAUGCCAUUAAACCAAAACCUUAUCAUACAAAUUUUGUAGUUUGCAAGUAAUAAUAUAAACAAACAAAGCGACUUGGCAAAAUUGUUUAAGGUGGAUUCAGAAGUUAAAACUUCGCUUCUAACUUGUACAUCUGACUUUUACCAUGUGACAACUAAAAAUUAGUAGCACUCUUUUUUACCACAAGUUGAAAUAUUACCUGUCUUUUUAAUGUGGUUUCACAAGGACAGGAAGCUCGAAUCCAUCAGCAAUAGAGACUUUGUUGCUUCUUGAUCUCCUCCAACUUUGUUACAGUUGUUGAUUGGUUUAUACAGAGAACUGAAGUUUUGGCAAUAUGCUUCAAUUUGUAUGUUUGCAUUACAGACUGAACCAUAGUAACUAUUGUUGGUAUUAUACUGGUUUUCAUUUUCCUUUUCUGACUACCGUAAAUGAAAUCAAACAGCAUGUGAAUCUAGAACAUCACAUAUUCAAUCUGAGUGUUAUAAAUUAUAAAAUAAGACACUUCAUAAUUCCUAAUGGAUUUGAUUACUUUAAAAGAACAACUAUAACAUUUGUUUGCUAAGAUUAUUAUAAUUUGGGGUGGCAGGACCAUGGAAACAAUUCACAACCUCCUUCCUUAUUCAAUUUAGGAUAAGGACAGUUGAUUUAGCAAUAUCACAUAUAACAAUUUUGGUGUUGGUUCUGAUGCUUGAAAACUUGUGGGAGAGAUACAGAAACCAAAGCAGCUGCUUGGUGCUUCAUGCCAAUCUGUCUUGGUUCUCAACAGCAAAGACUAAUACAACCAACCAGAUUGUGAAAACUGUGAUUCUCAUCUCCUGUUCUUUUGGUGGAAGAAAGGAAAUCAAGUAUUCUAAUCUGAAUGACAAUCCAGUGCUUUUCUUUGUGCCAAGUCAAUGACAAAACAGACAUGAAGACAAUCAAAAUCACAGAUAAAUCUGAAAAAAUUGGAGGCAUUCCGAGAAUCCAACUGGGGACCCCUCCACCCAAAGCGAGAAUCAUACCACUAGACCAAAUGCCCGCAUUCAUAAUAUAGUUGAUUUAGCAAUCAACGCUGAGUCCAAAUGUUUUUGGAAAGAAAUAUAAGAUUGCAUACUACAACUAUAUCAGUGUUUAACUGAUGCUUGCAAACCAUGGCACAGAUAAAAAAAUCAAAGUAACUUUUGCGUGCCUCUCAGGAAUCUGUCUAGGUUCUCAACUGUAAAGGCUAAUUCUGCCAGAAUUAUAAAUUAGUUCACAUCUUCUCCAGUUCUUGAGGUGGAAGAAAAAGAACUGAGUACUGCUUCUGGCAAACAGAGUGGAAUCUAGUGCAUGUCUUUGUACCUAGUCGAUGUAACGAGCACACCCAGAAAAAGAAUGGCAAACACAUAUGAGAAUAAUACAGCACAUUUAAUAUGAAACAAACGGGGGCUUAGAGUGCAUUGCACGCUAUUCCAAGUCCAGGACAAGGACAAAAAAACAAUACAGGACAAAUACAAUACAGUUAAAAAUAUUUGGGGCAUUCCGAGAAUCGAACUCGGGACCUCUCGCACCCAAAGCGAGAAUCAUACCACUAGACCAAAUGCCCUUAUUGAAAUGAUGAUGCCUGAGUCAAAUCUAUGUCUAGGUUUCCAUUCAAGUUGUUCAUGCAUGCCACAUUGUCAGUAGCAUUAUUGUAAACUUGCUAAUAAAUUAGCAGAGACGGUUACCUGUAUAGAGAAUUAACAGUAAAGGUCACUCAUUUUUCAAACUAAGAUACCAAAGAGAGAUUACAAAUUUACCCCUCUAGUUGAAUACGUAAACGUCGACAAUGACUUCAGACACAUUAUUCUAUCCCAUUUUUCAAAGACAAGCUGUUACUUGGUACAGGAAAAUCCCAGCUGAAACUGUUUUUGUAUCACUUUAUUCAUCCCAAGGCAAUCAUGUUAGUUAUUAUUUAAACAAACAAACUAUCAAGAAAAACUUGUCAAGAUCCAAAGCUUCAAAAGGAUAAAAUUUAGAAAUAAUCCCUAAUGCCUAUUGUUCGCUAAUUAUAAAAAACUAAUCAAUCAAUUUGAUGAAAUUAAUUUAAGGUAGAUUCUAAUGUUAAAACUUUGUUUCUAACUUCUACAUCUGACUUUUACUGCAUGACAUCGCUAAAGUUAUAGCAUUCUCAUUUUCAGGAGUUGAAACAUUACUUGUACUUUUAAUGAUUUUUUUCAUUUCACAAGUUAAGGGGGCUGAAAUCCAUUGGUGUGGAGAAGUUUCUUGCUUCUUAAUAUAAUAAAAGAACUCCUCAAACAUCGGUAUGGUUGUUGAUUCCCUUAUACAACAUUUGAAGUAAAAAACUGAAGUUUUGCCACAUGUACCUGUUUGUAUGUUGAAUUGGAGACUGAUUCAAGCUGAUUGAAGUAUUUUAAUUUGGUGUCAUACUAGUUGUUCUUUUCUUUUUCAAACUGGAUUACAUAAUAGCAAACAACAUGUGAUUUGACAUGCAGGUUAUCACACAUCGCAUCUGUGUUAAAUAUUAUAAAAUAAGAUAUUUGGUAAUGCUACAUGUGUAACUGACAAGAAUAAAUAAUUGUCCAAGUAGUGCUAAUACAGUUUUUUAAAAUUGAUAUGUUUUACUGCUAUGCUAGGCCUCAUGGACAAGACAACAAUUCACGAUCUCCUUCCUAAUUCCAUUUGAAAUAAUAUAGUUGAUUUAACAAUAUUACUUCAUUGUAGAAUGCAAAGUUCAAAUUGAAACACAAGAUCACAUACUAAUCUCAGAGUUUUGACUGAUACUUGCAAACUAACAGAGAGAUACAGAUGUCAAUCAAAUACUAAGUGUCUCAUGGCAUGGCAAGCAGUCUUUGUGCUUAACUGUGGAUGCUAUAAUGCAGCCAGAUAGUUAAGAUUGAUUCACAUCUUCUUCUGGUCUUUUUGUAAAAUAAACACAACUGCAAGUAUUCUUCUCUGACUGACAGGCUGAGAAUGCAGUGCAUGCUUUAUGCCUAGUCAAUAACAAAUGCAUGCGCUUAUAAAAAAAAUAACAUACACACACAUGAGAAUAAUACAGACACAGAUAAAUAUGAAAUAACCAUAAAAAAAACCAUAGGGGCAUUCCGAGAAUCGAACUCGGGACCUCUCGCACCCAAAGCGAGAAUCAUACCACUAGACCAAAUGCCCAUAUUGAAAUAUAUGGGGCUAUAUCAUUAUUUAUUCAUGCAUUGUCUUCAGUUCUACAGUAAGACUGCAUAUAGAUUGUAAGAUUUGGUUACCUGGAUGGGUAAUUAUCAAUCAAGAUAACUGUUUUCCAAGUUAACAUAUGAAAGAGAGUUUGCUUACCCCUCUGGUUUUAUAUAUUUAAAGACUUCCCAUGAAUUGCCAUAUAAUUUAAUUACAUUUACAGUGGCAAGGUGUCCCUCUUUACUGAAAAACUUCCAGCUAAAACUGUUAAUUACCUUCCAACACAUUCACAUUCAGCCCCUGAUGCUUAUAAGUAUACAAAAUAACAAGUCAAGAUUGUCAGCUUUCAUACUUCAAAAGCUUAAAAUUAGAAAUAAUUGCUAGUUGGCAUUUAAGUAUGAGGAUUAAUAAACCAGGGUUACUUGGGAAGUCACACCCUAAGUAAGAAUCAGAUGACAGGACCAAAAGCCUUACCAUGCAGUAUUUGUUAUUUGCUAAUCAUAUCGAAAAGUAAUUAAUUGAUUUGCUAAAAAUAUUUUAGGGUGUAUUAUGAAGUUAAAACCUUUGCUUCUAGCUUGUAAAUUUGAUUUUUAAAACAUGAAAUCAGUAAGUUGGUUUCUUACACAAGUUGAAACAUUAUUUGUACUUCACAAUUCUAAUAUCGCUUCUAAGUGCAGUGAUCAGAAAUUCAAUAUCGCAUGUUUUGAUAUGUUGGUUUAAUCACAUAUUCCACCUAGUUUUUGUAAGAUACUUGCUAAUUACAUCUGCAAAGGAUAUCAAGAUAUAAUUGUGUUUGUUGGAAAUCCACAUCGAUUAGAGAUAAAGACAUUUCAUAAUAUAUAUGUGGGUGCAAACCUCAUCUUACAAGCCGAUUUUAUAAGGUUGAGUUAGGCUUAAGUCCAUUUCUUAAUAUGGUAUCAGACUUAUUUAGAGUCUAUCCGACCACCGAGAGUUUGUUAGACUUAUCAGGUCACUCGCUAUCAGGUGUUAUUGGAUCACCCAUAAAUGUAUAGUCUCACGUACAAGUUAGUAGCAUCGGCGUAAGGGGUGUGUUGGAAAUCUCACAUCAACUAGAGAUAAGGACAAUUCAUAGUUUAUAAGUAGGUACAAAUCUCAUCUUAUAAGUCGGUUUCAUAAGGUUUAGUUAGGUUUAAGUCCACUUCUUAAUAGUGUUGAUACAUUUGUUCAUAAGAACUUGAUAUUGUUGGGGGGGGGGGGGGGGGCAUGCAUCAUCAACAACAACUCACAACCUCUUAAGGAUACAACUUGAUAUCCUUGUUUUUUGUUACAAGGAUACAACUGUCUCUUAGAGACUAGCUAGCAAGAACAAUAUAAGGCUUUUUGUGUAGUAAAGAGGGCAUAGAAUAAUAUUGUAGAAAUUUUCUUAUCUUGCCUAGUUUUCUCAUAGUUUUAUUCCCCUUUACGUUUCCUCUUCUUAACCUUUAACGUAACAACCUCAUUCGUUAUUAUGUUAUUCAAUUUGAAAUAACAUAGUUGAUUCAGCAAUAUUUUAAUUCAUUGUAGAAUAUAGAGUUCAAGAGGCACAUAUGAGUUAAGAUCAUAUACCACAAUCUAGCGUUAAAAUUGAUGCUUGCUAACACGUGCAGAUAUAGGUAAAUCAUAACAAUGCUAAGUGUCUUGGAGCUUAAAUGUAAAAAGACAGAUCAACAGUCAAGCACAAUACAAACAAAACUGAUUGUUAAGAUUGUGAUUUGAAUUUUCUCCUAUUCUUUAGAAAAAAUGCAACUGCAAGUAUUCUAUCAUGUCCGAGAAUGCAGGGUUUUCUUGUGCCAACUCAAUGACAAAAACACAUGAAGACAAUUCAUGCACAGACAGACAAAAAGAGGGGGCAUUCCGAGAAUUGAACUCGGGACCUCUCGCACCCUAAGCGAGAAUCAUACCACUAGACCAAAUGCCCAUAUUUGGAGAAUAAGGGCAAAGUCAAAUCUAUGUCAGUCUAAUUUAGAAUUGUAUAUGAAUGCCACAUUCUCUUCAGUUCAAGGGUAAGAUUGCAUACCAGAUUUGCUUACCUGGAUAUGCAAUUGUAACUCAAGGCAACCUGUUUUGCCAAUCAAGGCAUCAAAGUGAGUUUACUAAUUUACCACUCAAGUUUUAUGUAUAAACUUUCUCCGUACAGAUAUCCUGUUUUGGAGACAAUGGUGUUCAAUUCAAGGCACUAUUUAUGGAGCAGUAACUCUCAGCACCUCUCCUAAUUUAGAUUAUUUACCUGCUUUUCUUUAUAAAGGAUCUGUACCAUUAUCUCUGGUAUUAUAUUUUUAAGUAUCAACUACGACUUAAAACAAAUUAUUGUAUUACAUUUUCGGUGGCAAGCAGUUAAAGACUCAUUCAUCCCAACACAAUCCAUGUCAGUUUUAUAUUUAAAUUGUAUAUGCAAGUCACAUUCUCUACAGUUCUAUGGUAAGAUUCCAUACAAAUUACCAGAUUUUCUUACCUGGAUAGGCAAUUGUAAGUCAUGGUUACCUAUUUUUCUAGUCAAGUUAUCAAAGUGAAUUUACAAUUUAUCACACUGGUUUCAUGUAUAUACUUUCUCGCUACAGAUAUGGUGUUCAAUGCACUGUGGAGCAUUGAAGGUUUAAGUACCAUUAUCUCCGGAUAUAUUUUAAUCAUCAACUUUGACUUACAACACAUUACUGUAUUAAAUUUUCAGAGGCAAGCUGUUACUUGCACAUAAAAAUUUCAGAUAAAACUGUCGAUCUACAAUUUCAUUCAUCCCAAGGAAUCACAUGCAACCUCUGAUGUUUAUUAUUAUUUAACUAAAGGAACUAACAUGUCAAAUUUGUCAACUUCCGGAACGCGAAAAAACAAAAAUUGAGAAAUCAAACCUGAUGCUUGUUGGCUAUAGCGAUUACCAGAUCAAUCUUGUCAGUUCCAAAUCGUCAAAUAACAAAAGGGCAUCCAGAGAAUGAAGUUGGAACCUAUCGCGCCCCACUUUUCACUUUUCUUCUCCUGAAAGAGAGAAACUGACCUAGAACAGUUAAUGAAAGGGAUUUUUGAG